GUCAGGAUGGCCGAGCGGUCUAAGGCGCUGCGUUCAGGUCGCAGUCUCCUCUGGAGGCGUGGGUUUAAAUCCCACAUCUGACA
rnacentral:tRNA from 2 species